rnacentral:rRNA from 1 species
UACAUAGGGUGCGAGCGUUAAUCGGAAUUACUGGGCGUAAAGCGUGCGCAGGCGGUUCGCCAAGUCAGGUGUGAAAUCCCCGGGCUUAACCUGGGAAUUGCGCUUGAAACUAGCGGGCUUGAGUGCGGCAGAGGGGGGUGGAAUUCCACGUGUAGCAGUGAAAUGCGUAGAGAUGUGGAGGAACACCGAUGGCGAAGGCAGCCCCCUGGGUCGACACUGACGCUCAUGCACGAAAGCGUGGGGAGCAAACAGG